rnacentral:rRNA from 1 species
CCAGACUCCUACGGGAGGCAGCAGUGAGGAAUAUUGGUCAAUGGCCGCAGGGCUGAACCAGCCAAGUCGCGUGAGGGAUGACGGUCCUAUGGAUUGUAAACCUCUUUUGUCAGGGAGCAAAGGGCGCCACGUGUGGCGUUUUGCGAGUACCUGAAGAAAAAGCAUCGGCUAACUCCGUGCCAGCAGCCGCGGUAAUACGGAUGAUGCGAGCGUUAUCCGGAUUUAUUGGGUUUAAAGGGUGCGCAGGCGGAAUGUAAAGUAAGCGGUAAAAUUUCGGGGCUCAACCCCGUCGUGCCGUUGAAACUGGUUUUCUUGAGUGAGCGAGAAGUAUGCGGAAUGCGUGGUGUAGCGGUGAAAUGCAUAGAUAUCACGCAGAACUCCGAUUGCGAAGGCAGCAUACCGGCGCUCAACUGACGCUCAUGCACGAAAGCGUGGGUAUCGAACAGGAUUAGAUACCCGCGUA